GAUGAACGCUGGCGGCGUGCCUAAUACAUGCAAGUCGAGCGAACAGACGAGGAGCUUGCUCCUCUGACGUUAGCGGCGGACGGGUGAGUAACACGUGGAUAACCUACCUAUAAGACUGGGAUAACUUCGGGAAACCGGAGCUAAUACCGGAUAAUAUAUUGAACCGCAUGGUUCAAUAGUGAAAGACGGUUUUGCUGUCACUUAUAGAUGGAUCCGCGCCGCAUUAGCUAGUUGGUAAGGUAACGGCUUACCAAGGCAACGAUGCGUAGCCGACCUGAGAGGGUGAUCGGCCACACGGGAACUGAGACACGGUCCAGACUCCUACGGGAGGCAGCAGUAGGGAAUCUUCCGCAAUGGGCGAAAGCCUGACGGAGCAACGCCGCGUGAGUGAUGAAGGUCUUCGGAUCGUAAAACUGUGUUAUUAGGGAAGAACAAAUGUGUAAGUAACUAUGCACGUCUUGACGGUACCUAAUCAGAAAGCCACGGCUAACUACGUG
rnacentral:rRNA from 1 species